rnacentral:rRNA from 1 species
AAGACCUUUGCGCUUUUGGAGCGGCCGAUGCCUGAUUAGCUUGUUGGUAAGGUAAAAGCUUACCAAGGCUUCGAUCAGUAGCUGGUCUGAGAGGACGGCCAGCCACACUGGGACUGAGACACGGCCCAGACUCCUACGGGAGGCAGCAGUGGGGAAUUUUGGACAAUGGAGGCAACCCUGAUCCAGCCAUGCCGCGUGAGUGAAGAAGGCCUUCGGGUUGUAAAGCUCUUUCAGCCGGAACGAAACGGUUACGGUUAAUACCCGUGAUUACUGACGGUACCGGAAGAAGAAGCACCGGCUAACUACGUGCCAGCAGCCGCGGUAAUACGUAGGGUGCGAGCGUUAAUCGGAAUUACUGGGCGUAAAGCGUGCGCAGGUGGUUUUGUAAGUCAGAUGUGAAAGCCCCGGGCUCAACCUGGGAACU